UGCGUUCCGAACGAACACGUGAUUAAUUACUGUGCCACGAGAUUGACAUCGAACGUUCGUUGCAUCGACGAAGACAAUUCGGAGAGAUUAUCUUGUGACGCGAGAAGAGAGUACAAAGAAAGUACGAAGACGAAAGGUCGACGGCUAUAACCCAAAUCGAAAUACGAGUUUGCGACCACGGACUACGAAACGUGAGGAACCCAAGACGCUCUUCGAGUCUUCAAAACAGAACUACCGAUGGAAUGACAUUAUAGAUUCUCAGUAUGGCGCGGUAGUUGUCGAAGCGCCAGUGUAAGGAAAAAAGGACGAUCGAGGGAGAAAAGGACAAGGUUACGUUCGUUAUAAGGCGAUCUAGAAGCGAAAGAAUCGAGAUCUUAUCUGCACGUUGCUCAAUCUAAAAAUUGUUGCCCGAGGGUGGCCGGAAACCAGAGCAGGUUUCGUAAACGAAGGUCAAAUAUUCGAGCAGCUAUUCUUUCUCUGUGGUUCGUUUGAAUGUUUGAUUUAUCGAGGCCGUCAACGCCGACAAAAAUUUGCAUAGGCAGCGAAAGAAAACCCGGUAUUCUCAGCGGAUCCUGUCGCCGAAAAAACCAACAAUAAGUUAGCCCAAAGUAGCACAACAAUACCAUCAUAAUGCCAGCUGGUUACGAGGACUUUGAGGGAAAGGACAAGACGUCGACCUUGAAGUGCAGACUACAUUACCUUUUUUCUCAUCGUCAUAACGAAAAUAGUGCGAAAGGAAGAUGGUGGGUGGUAUUAAAAGUUAGAAAGAAACGCGCGAACGAACGGGUGACGACAUUCACGGAGGACCAGCUUCUUCGAUUCCAAGUUCUACGUCAGUUUUGCGUGGAUUCCAAAAUAGUAGGUAUGCGUGGAAAGUGAAACGUGCCGCGCGGCGAUACACAUACCUUGGAUUCCGUCGAACUCAGCGAAAGGGUGACGCAGAAGCUGUUUUUAAAAAUUUAUAGCGGCGCCAACCGAACGAU
rnacentral:lncRNA from 1 species